UACGUAGGAUGCAAGCGUUGUCCGGAAUUAUUGGGCGUAAAGCGUGCGCAGGCGGUUUUGUAAGACCGAUGUGAAAUGCCCGGGCUUAACCUGGGAACUGCAUUUGUGACUGCAUGGCUAGAGUUUGGCAGAGGGGGGUAGAAUUCCACGUGUAGCAGUGAAAUGCGUAGAUAUGUGGAGGAACACCGAUGGCGAAGGCAGCCCCCUGGGUCAAGACUGACGCUCAUGCACGAAAGCGUGGGGAGCAAACAGG
rnacentral:rRNA from 1 species